rnacentral:misc_RNA from 1 species
GGCCAUUGGAUUGGUUUGAUCCACCUGCUGCACAGUCAGUGCUGGAACAUUUUUCUAGUCCUUCAACUUGGUAUGUGAUCUCCUCAAAUCGGCCGUGUGCAUUGGCACAUCCUUGCUUAGUACACUGAAGAACUUGCAAGUUCUUUGCUCCUGGACUAUUUGAUGACAUGUAAUCCAAUAGGUGACCGUAUGAAGAGCAAUUGUGACAGAAAGUUGCAUCUGUACCCUGCGGACUUUCCACUUUCCCCUGUCCCCUCUUCCAUUCAGGC